UGAACGCUAGCGACAGGCCUAACACAUGCAAGUCAGGGGCAGCACAAGGAGCAAUCUGAGGUGGCGACCGGCGCACGGGUGAGUAACACGUAUGCAACCUGCCUGUAAGCGGGGAAUAACCCGUUGAAAGACGGACUAAUACCGCAUAAUACUAAAUUACUGCAUGGUAAUUUAUUUAAACAUUUAUGGCUUACAGAUGGGCAUGCGCAUGAUUAGCUAGUUGGAGAGGUAACGGCUCCCCAAGGCAACGAUCAUUAGGGGUUCUGAGAGGAAGGUCCCCCACACUGGUACUGAGACACGGACCAGACUCCUACGGGGGGCAGCAGUGAGGAAUAUUGGUCAAUGGACGAGAGUCUGAACCAGCCAAGUCGCGUGCAGGAAGAAUGUCCUAUGGAUUGUAAACUGCUUUUGCAGGGGAAUAAAGUGCAUCACGUGUGAUGUUUUGUAUGUACUCUGCGAAUAAGGAUCGGCUAACUCCGUGCCAGCAGCUGC
rnacentral:rRNA from 1 species